GCGGCGAGUGAAGCGGCAAAGCUCAAAUUUGAAAUCUGGCGCCUUCGGUGUCCGAGUUGUAAUUUGAAGAUUGUAACCUUGGGGUUGGCUCUUGUCUAUGUUUCUUGGAACAGGACGUCACAGAGGGUGAGAAUCCCGUGCGAUGAGAUGCCCAAUUCUAUGUAAGGUGCUUUCGAAGAGUCGAGUUGUUUGGGAAUGCAGCUCUAAGUGGGUGGUAAAUUCCAUCUAAAGCUAAAUAUUGGCGAGAGACCGAUAGCGAACAAGUACAGUGAUGGAAAGAUGAAAAGAACUUUGAAAAGAGAGUGAAAAAGUACGUGAAAUUGUUGAAAGGGAAGGGUUUGAGAUCAGACUCGAUAUUUUGUGAGCCUUGCCUUCGUGGCGGGGUGACCCGCAGCUUAUCGGGCCAGCAUCGGUUUGGGCGGUAGGAUAAUGGCGUAGGAAUGUGACUUUACUUCGGUGAAGUGUUAUAGCCUGCGUUGAUGCUGCCUGCCUAGACCGAGGACUGCGAUUUUAUCAAGGAUGCUGGCAUAAUGAUCCCAAACCGCCCGUCUUGAACCACGGA
rnacentral:rRNA from 1 species